CUUUCCUCUUCUUGUCUCUGCAGCUUGUCCGCGACCAUCUGGAUGGCCUCUGCCCACUCAUCUCUGGAUUUGGAGUAUAUGACAAGGCGAACAACGCCAUAUAUCUGACGAUGAUAAGAAGACACACUGCUGCUGCUGCUGCUGCUGCUGCUGCAUCAUCCAGACACGUCCGAUUAGAAGACUAGAAUGACCCAUUCACUGCACAGGUUCCCUUUCCGAUGACGCAUCAGGUGUCCAUAUGUUUCCUUGAAGGAGCCGGAGGAAACAUGCAUCCGAACCUAAACAGCAGUGUGCUUUACCACUCUACACCAGUAGAUGGCGGUGAAUCCCUGGAGCAUGGUAGCCACCACUGUAAUGCUGUGGAGUGACUGACAGACACUCUCCCAAAGCCCAGGGAAGCAGCAGCCGUGCUGGACGGGCCUGGACACCCUGUCCCCCUUCAGCCCAGCCCAGGUCUCUUUGAAGUAGCUUCAGGAGAGAGGUCAGCCUCGCCCCGGAGACCAGCAUAGAGGUAGGGACAGCUGCGGUCAGACAGAUCCUGUGCUGGGAAAACGCACACACAAGAUCAAGCACACACGCACACACACAAACGCACACGCGAGACAGAGCAGAGCAGCUGCAGCCACCGUGUUGAAGGUGUGCUGUACAGCAGGACAGCUUGGGAGCCAGUAUGGUCCAGCGUGGCUCUGCUCUGUUCUGGGUCACCUAUUUUGCACUCAGGUGUGAAAUGUAGACUGUGGAGGAGCAGAUGACCAGAUGAAAUUUAUAUAUGUUCUAUAUUAACUUCUAGCCAAUCAACA